rnacentral:rRNA from 1 species
AACAGGGAUUGCCCUAGUAACGGCGAGUGAAGCGGCAACAGCUCAAAUUUGAAAUCUAGCAUUCGGGUUCGCAUAGUAAUUAGUAGAGGAUGCUUUGGGUAAAACGCCCGUCUAAGUUCCUCGGAACAGGACGUCAUAGAGGGUGAGAAUCCCGUAUGUGACUGGAAAUGUUAACCUAUGUAAAGCUCCUUCGACGAGUCGAGUUGUUUGGGAAUGCAGCUCUAAAUGGGAGGUAAAUUUCUUCUAAAGCUAAAUAUUGGCGAGAGACCGAUAGCGCACAAGUAGAGUGAUCGAAAGAUGAAAAGCACUUUGGAAAGAGAGUUAAAAAGCACGUGAAAUUGUUGAAAGGGAAGCGCUUGCAAUCAGACAGUUUAAACUGUUCGGCCGGUCUUUUGACCGGUUUACUCAGUUUGGACAGGCCAGCAUCAGUUUAGGCGGCCGGAUAAAGGCAUUGGGAAUGUGGCCUUCACUUCGGUGGAGGUGUUAUAGCCCAGUGUGUAAUACGGCCAGCCG